ACGCAGUCUCCAGGCACCCUGUCUUUGUCUCCAGGGGAAAGAGCCACCCUCUCCUGCAGGGCCAGUCAGAGUGUUAGCAGCAGCUACUUAGCCUGGUACCAGCAGAAACCUGGCCAGGCUCCCAGGCUCCUCAUCUAUGGUGCAUCCAGCAGGGCCACUGGCAUCCCAGACAGGUUCAGUGGCAGUGGGUCUGGGACAGACUUCACUCUCACCAUCAGCAGACUGGAGCCUGAAGAUUUUGCAGUGUAUUACUGUCAGCAGUAUGGUUACUCACUCACUUUCGGCGGAGGGACCAAGGUGGAGAUCAAACG
rnacentral:lncRNA from 1 species